ACGCACGCUGGCGGCGUGCCUCAUCCCUGCAAGUAGCACGCUGAAGAGAGGAGCUUGCUCUUCUUGGAUGAGUUGCGAACGGGUGAGUAACGCGUAGGUAACCUGCCUUGUAGCGGGGGAUAACUAUUGGAAACGAUAGCUAAUACCGCAUAACAAUGGAUGACACAUGUCAUUUAUUUGAAAGGGGCAAUUGCUCCACUACAAGAUGGACCUGCGUUGUAUUAGCUAGUAGGUGAGGUAAUGGCUCACCUAGGCGACGAUACAUAGCCGACCUGAGAGGGUGAUCGGCCACACUGGGACUGAGACACGGCCCAGACUCCUACGGGAGGCAGCAGUAGGGAAUCUUCGGCAAUGGGGGCAACCCUGACCGAGCAACGCCGCGUGAGUGAAGAAGGUUUUCGGAUCGUAAAGCUCUGUUGUAAGUCAAGAACGGGUGUGAGAGUGGAAAGUUCACACUGUGACGGUAGCUUACCAGAAAGGGACGGCUAACUACGUA
rnacentral:rRNA from 1 species